AUUAUUAUAACUUAUAUUAAAGUGUUAGAUUCUUACUCUAAUUAAGUUUUUUUAAACUAAUAAUA
rnacentral:tRNA from 1 species